rnacentral:lncRNA from 1 species
ACUGACUCCAAAAGCUGUCCUCUGUCCUCCACAUAUGUGCCAUGACAUAUGUAUGCACACACACACACACUGACCUCCACAUAUGACAUAACAUAUACAUACACAUACAUAUACACACUGACCUCCAUAUAUGUGCCAUGACAUAUGUAUACACACACACUGACCUUCACAGGUGACAUGACAUAUGUAUGCACAUACACACAGACCGCCACAUGUGCCAUGAUAUGUGUAUACAUACACACACUGACCUCCAUAUAUGUGACGUGUAUGCACGCACACACAUUGACCUACACAUAUGUGCCAUGACAUAUGUAUGCUCACACACACACUGACCUUCAUAUAUGUGACAUAUAUAUACACACACUCUG